AUUAAUCAUACAUAAAGCUGUGCCAGUGGAUUGAUAGUAGUUACAAGUUGUUUAUGUUUUCUUGAAAGUAAAACGUUUUUCUUGGUUCCACUGUGUGCAUCCGUUUUGCUAAAAUUCCUUGGCAAUUUCCUUUUAGGUAAAUCCCCCACAAAAUGACAUGUUUUGUGGUACCUUUGACCCUUGUCAUCCUGACCUGUUCAAGAAAACACCUUGAAGACAAAUACAACCAGCCAUUUCCUGCAAGGUAAACAGCUUGAUAAACAGCAACAUCCUUCAUUACCAUGACAACAGCUCUGCCUCCAGGGAUUUCAAGUCCAGCCGUUCGUUUUCAUCAGAAAUGAAUAACAGAGCCAGUCGCUACACAAUAACGUAGACGCAAGCUUCAUUGGCCAAAGGUCACUUAUAUAAGGCAGGAAUUUCAGCUUGGCUGUCUGUCGUCUUCAGUGACUCCUCAUUACGAGAUUGAGUUCAAGAUGUCUUCAGGAACAUCCUACAUC